GAUGAACGCUGGCGGCGUGCCUAAUACAUGCAAGUCGAGCGAACAGACGAGGAGCUUGCUCCUCUGACGUUAGCGGCGGACGGGUGAGUAACACGUGGAUAACCUACCUAUAAGACUGGGAUAACUUCGGGAAACCGGAGCUAAUACCGGAUAAUAUAUUGAACCGCAUGGUUCAAUAGUGAAAGACGGUUUUGCUGUCACUUAUAGAUGGAUCCGCGCCGCAUUAGCUAGUUGGUAAGGUAAAGGCUUACCAAGGCGACGAUGCGUAGCCGACCUGAGAGGGUGAUCGGCCACACUGGAACUGAGACACGGUCCAGACUCCUACGGGAGGCAGCAGUAGGGAAUCUUCCGCAAUGGGCGAAAGCCUGACGGAGCAACGCCGCGUGAGUGAUGAAGGUCUUCGGAUCGUAAAACUCUGUUAUUAGGGAAAAACAAAUGUGUAAGUAACUAUGCACGUCUUGACGGUACCUAAUCAGAAAGCCACGGCUAACUACGUG
rnacentral:rRNA from 1 species